GCCCUCUGGUUGAUCCUGCCGGAGGUCAUUGCUAUUGGGGUCCGAUUUAGCCAUGCUAGUUGCACGAGUUCAUACUCGUGGCGAAAAGCUCAGUAACACGUGGCCAAACUACCCUACAGAGAACGAUAACCUCGGGAAACUGAGGCUAAUAGUUCAUACGGGAGUCAUGCUGGAAUGCCGACUCCCCGAAACGCUCAGGCGCUGUAGGAUGUGGCUGCGGCCGAUUAGGUAGACGGUGGGGUAGCGGCCCACCGUGCCGAUAAUCGGUACGGGUUGUGAGAGCAAGAGCCCGGAGACGGAAUCUGAGACAAGAUUCCGGGCCCUACGGGGCGCAGCAGGCGCGAAACCUUUACACUGCACGCAAGUGCGAUAAGGGGACCCCAAGUGCGAGGGCAUAUAGUCCUCGCUUUUCACGACUGUAAGGCGGUCGUGGAAUAAGAGCUGGGCAAGACCGGUGCCAGC
rnacentral:rRNA from 1 species